rnacentral:rRNA from 1 species
UACGGGGGGGGCAAGCGUUGUUCGGAAUUACUGGGCGUAAAGGGCUCGUAGGCGGCCAACUAAGUCGGAUGUGAAAUCCCCAGGCUUAACCUGGGAACUGCAUCCGAUACUGGAUGGCUUGAAUCCGGGAGAGGGAUGCAGAAUUCCAGGUGUAGCGGUGAAAUGCGUAGAUAUCGGGAGGAACACCAGUGGCGAAGGCGACUUCCUGGCCUGUUCUUGACGCUGAGGCGCGAAAGCUAGGGGAGCAAACGGG